GCCGAAAUAGCUUAGUUGGGAGAGUGUCAGACUGAAGAUCUGAAGGCCCCCUGGUUCAAUCCCAGGUUUCGGCA